UACAGAGGCCUCGAGCGUUAGGCGGAAUCACUGGGCUUAAAGCGUGUGUAGGCGGACUUCUAAGUACCUUGUGAAAUCCCACGGCUCACCCGUGGAACUGCUUGGUAUACUGGUUGUCUUGAGCCUUCUAGGGGCGAGUGGAACAAAUGGUGGAGCGGUGAAAUGCGUAGAUAUCAUUUGGAACGCCAAUGGUGAAAACAACUCGCUGGGGAAGUGCUGACGCUGAGACACGAAAGCCAGGGAGCGAACGGG
rnacentral:rRNA from 1 species